UAAUGUUUUAGAAUAACUUAUUAUGGCUUAUAGUCAGCAUACCGUUCAAAAUGAACAUUUUUGGUAAUGCGAAAAGUUCAUUAAACACCAAACACUGGAUACUGUUCUUUUUUCUCAAAGGCGUUUCGCCCAAUGCGUCUUCAGGUUCGAACCUGAAAACGCAUUGGGCGAAACGCGUUGUUCGCUCCUAAAAAUAAAGAGAAAAAAGAACAGUAUCCAGUGUGCGGUGUUUAAUGAACUUUUCAUAUUUGAUCACGUUUUCCUGCCUAACACCUGCACCUGGAAAGCUGAAGGGUUGUGCACAAGGACUUUCAUGCACUUUGAUCUUUGGUAAUGCAUUGUAGCAAAGAACUGAAAUAUAUCAGUAUUAUAGAAGUCAUGACUAUACCAGGGCCUUUUCCUGGGAUUUCUCCCUCAGAAGAUCCUCCACCCUUUGAAGGUCUUCCUCGCAGUUCAUUGGGAACUUAAAUUCCUCAGAUAGAGUGUCUGCUGCUGCUGCUGAUGUAGUUUUUUGCCUAGUAAGGGCCUGGAGGAGGAGGUUGUUCUGCCUCACCAAGGCCUUCAACUCCUCCACAGCACGCAGGAGUGCAUGAUCCCGUUCUACAGGACAGAAAAACAUCAUGACUGUCAUGUCAAGAGGUGCUCCUGGUUUGGGCUUUUUUCAGGUUCAUACGCGCUGCAUCAUAAUUGGCUGUUGAAGACAACAAUGAAGUCUCAUCUGGCAUAGCGCUUUGGAUGACUGCAAUUUUCGUCCGCUUGGUGUCUUUAUACGGUGGCCAAAAAGACACCUUGCCGUCCAAACUUAGCCACGAGCAAGGCACAACCUCCACCUCGUUUGACUCGGUUCCCAACCACAGCUGUCCCCAGUGCAGUUGAAUCAACAGGGUGGUUGAAAAAUGGACGUUGGUCUAAAUAUUGCCUCGCCACAAAAGACGUACCACCAAGUGUCCUGCUAAUUGCCUCUAUUUUAAAAGUGGCACCACCACACAAAACUGUGUUGUUCCCAUCCUUUGUGGACAGGGUAAAUCUAUCAGUGGCGUACUGUGUUGUUGAGGGUGAACUUUGGUUAUGGGAAGAUGGACAGACUGGGUUGAUGCUUGAUUUUUCCGUUAAUCGUUUAACAAUUUGUUGUAAUG